AUGAGGUGGGCGGGGCCUGGACAGGUCACUGGUCCAGAGAUAAGAGAGACCUGCGUGUCCUUGUUCACUGGAACACUUCUGAGGUGCCACUUGUGGAGCCUGCACAGCGAGCACCCCACUUCCACAGUGUGGGGUCUCGGGGUCCUGCCUGCUCUGGAUGCUCAGUCACGGGAGACAUGGGGUCAUGUGGAUCGACGAGACAUGUCGGCUGUGACCGCGUUCCCCAGGCUGGCCCACCACCAGUGCUUUCCUGUGCUGAGUGGCCAGCAACGGGGGACAGAGGGAGCAGAUGGCGGGAGCCAGGAGAGCAGCAGCUGAGGCAGGAGGGCUUUGGUCCUCCCAGAUCAUCUCCUAAGUAGCUGACCUCCACCUGAAACCCCACAGGCUGGGCCUCCCUGGCCACCCCUGCCUGGGACCCUUCUCUCCGCCAGGCAUCCUUCCUCCCCACCUCCUCCAGGGCUAGUCCUGCAGGGGAACUCCAGCCCCCACCCAUCUGCGUGGGGCUCUGAGCUCCUUCCACGUGGCCACACUGUGCGGCUGGCGGCUCACUCCUCUUUGGUCAGUGACCCAAGCACAGGUCCAGAGGGCAGGGGAAGGAAGAGGGAGUUUGUCAGUCUGGAGAAGAAGGACCAGGCUCCCGGGAAAUCCAGAGUGGAGGGGCCAUCAGCUUCCUAAGCUAGGUCCAGCAACAGGCUGGUGUGUGCCCACUCAUCACACUCCCUCCUGUAGACCUGCUUCGCGCUGGACACCCUGGGCACCACAUGCAUGAUCGUAUAUCAGGUAAACAGGAAAAUUCACGCACUAGAUAGCCUACAAACUGUGGAUUGGGGUUCAGAACUUGUAGUUCUGUUCUCCUCUGGGCCCGCUGGCAUAAACAAAGUUUGGAGUUCUCCCUUCCUAGUGCUGCCUGCUGCUUCCUGCCAGUCUGUUUCCGCAACAAAACACGUGGGUAUUCAUACUGGACAGGAGUCUUCUGUACGGUAAUCGUAUCACAAACAUCUUGUCUCACUGUGUGAUUCCCCUUUUCCUUUUAACCUUCCCAAUUGUUUAAAUAUAUUUUUUUAGUUGUAGAUGUAUACAAUACCUUUAU
rnacentral:lncRNA from 1 species